UUGAGAUGCUUCAUAUACUGGACACACCCACAAGUAUAAAUUACAAGGCAGACACUGAGAAUUUGGCACACAAGAAGAGAAAGAAAGCAGAAUGUGACAAAUACAAUUCAGUAUGCAACGUACUGGCAACGAUACAAGUUAAACCGCGCUUUGUUUAAUUUUUCUUUGCUAUGUUGUAGUUAUUAAUUCAAAUUCCAGAUGAUGUCUUCCGUGGGAAAGGCGAAAUAUGGAAUGAAGUAUUAAAUAUAUACAUAAUAAAAAAUA
rnacentral:sRNA from 1 species